AGAGUUUGAUCCUGGCUCAGGAUGAACGCUAGCGGCAGGCUUAACACAUGCAAGUCGAGGGGCAGCGAGGAGUAGCAAUACUCUGUCGGCGACCGGCGAAAGGGUGAGUAACGCGUGAGCAACAUGCCCGGUACUGGGGGAUAGUCGAUGGAAACGUCGCGUAAUACCCCGUAACACAAGUCAUCGCAUGGUGGUUUGUUAAGAGAUUUAUCGAUACCGGAUUGGCUCGCGUCCCAUUAGGCAGUUGGCGGGGUAACGGCCCACCAAACCGACGAUGGGUAGGGGUUCUGAGAGGAAGGUCCCCCACAUUGGAACUGAGACACGGUCCAGACUCCUACGGGAGGCAGCAGUGAGGAAUAUUGGACAAUGGCCGAGAGGCUGAUCCAGCCAUGCCGCGUGCGGGAGGACGGCCCUAUGGGUUGUAAACCGCUUUUGUCGGGGAGCAAUAAGGUGUACGUGUACACUGAUGAGAGUACCUGGCGAAUAAGCAUCGGCUAACUCCGUGCCAGCAGCCGCGGUAAUACGGAGGAUGCAAGCGUUAUCCGGAUUUAUUGGGUUUAAAGGGUGCGUAGGCGGAAGCUUAAGCGUGAGGUGAAAUGCCACGGCUCAACCGUGGAACUGCCUCGCGAACUGGGUUUCUGGAAUGCCCCUGCCGUGGGAGGAAUGUGUGGUGUAGCGGUGAAAUGCAUAGAGAUCACACAGAACACCGAUUGCGAAGGCAUCUCACGAAGGGGUGAUUGACGCUGAGGCACGAAAGCGUGGGGAUCAAACAGGAUUAGAUACCCUGGUAGUCCACGCAGUAAACGAUGAUGGCUAACCGCUGGGUUUUAGGAUUCAGUGGCCAAGCGAAAGCGAUAAGCCAUCCACCUGGGGAGUACGACCGCAAGGUUGAAACUCAAAGGAAUUGACGGGGGCCCGCACAAGCGGAGGAACAUGUGGUUUAAUUCGAUGGUACGCGAGGAACCUUACCCGGGCUUGAAAGUUAGUGACGGCGGAUGAAAGUCUGCUUCCCUUCGGGGCACGAAACUAGGUGCUGCAUGGUUGUCGUCAGCUCGUGCCGUGAGGUGUCGGCUUAAGUGCCAUAACGAGCGCAACCCUUGCCGUUAGUUGCCAGCGGGUAAUGCCGGGAACUCUAGCGGGACUGCUACUGUAAGGUAGAGGAAGGUGGGGAUGACGUCAAAUCAGCACGGCCCUUACGUCCGGGGCGACACACGUGUUACAAUGGUGAGUACAGAGGGUUGCUACCUGGCGACAGGAUGCUAAUCUCCUAAAACUCAUCUCAGUUCGGAUCGGAGUCUGCAACUCGACUCCGUGAAGCUGGAUUCGCUAGUAAUCGCGCAUCAGCCAUGGCGCGGUGAAUACGUUCCCGGGCCUUGUACACACCGCCCGUCAAGCCAUGGAAGCUGGGGGUACCUAAAGUCUGCAACCGCAAGGAGCGGCCUAGGGUAAAACUGGUAACUGGGGCUAAGUCGUAACAAGGUAGC
rnacentral:rRNA from 1 species